CCUUUCUCACAUCCAAAAUUGGAUAUGAUCUGGUGUUUAUGGUAUAUUCAAAUUUGAUUUGAAUGUGUUACCAAAUAUAGAUAAUAUUUGACCUUAUCUAUAAGACCUUGCCGCCCAUGCCUUCUUUUCCCUUUCUUUUGUGUGACAAAUAGGGGUUCCUCACCAUGGGAAAUCAGAUUGAGAUCUGAUUUACCAUGAGAAAGAAAAAAAAGGAUGCGCAUUGCAUUUUUAGGUGUGGAAUUAUGAGAGGGGGCGACAACUCUUGGAAGAGUCCAACAUAUCUAGGACUCUUAAAACCCCAUCUUCUUUCAUGUCAAAAAGGGUUUUUAUUUUCUUUUUUGUGCGUAUAAGAAAGAAGAGAAGGUGGCCUUCACAUUGAGAGGGCUCUUGGGUGUGGUUCCAUGGCAUGAAAGAAGAGGAGAGUCCUUUCUCUUUGGGUGAGUGCAAAACCUAGAAUUUUAGGAUUUCUUCCUAAGGGUUUGGGAAGAGAGAAAAAGAAGAGAGAAGAGAGUCUCCUCUCUAUUCUUCUUUCACAUCCUCAUCUCCUCUAGAUGUCCUCUUUAACUUCUAAAAAGGUUCAAGAGAUUUAAAAAAAAGAUCUAGAUCAGCCAAGAAGAUGGUCUUCAUGCAAGCUAGCACUCUCAAGGAGAUCGAUC
rnacentral:lncRNA from 1 species